AUGAGGAACAACCGCAUAUUCCAAUCACUUGGCAUUGCUGCAUUAGGUAUGAUGAGUCCUGACGAUGAGGUCAUUGAGGAGGAUGAAGUUGAUGAUAUUGUAGUGGAGAAGGAAGAUAAGGAAACCUGUCAGUCGAACAAGGAGAACCGUUUCGAAGUUAAGUUCCAUCAGAAAACUGGUUCUCGCCCCUACAUUUCCCAUGUGCAAACUUUGAAAGAGGCUCGUAAGGGUGAAGAGUUGACUUUGUUUGAUCUAUUCAAGGAGUGCCACAAUGGCAAGAAGACUGGUUUCUCUGAGCCAGUUAAGAAGGCGAUAAUUUGA
rnacentral:rRNA from 1 species